GACGUCACAUUGUUGCUUGUUUCUACUUUUUUGAAAGAGCUACUCUCGAACGUAGAUUAGCCAUUGCCGUCGUGUCGGCUGCAAGACGUUCUGCGCGCGCUUGGCGCGCUUUUGUGCGUGUCGAAAGCGUAUAACGUGCGCGAUAUUCGUGCGAGCGCAGUUUGACUUGAGCAAUCGUGGGUUUGGACUCCGUGACAUUAGCUUUCGUCAUAUGCGAGUUAGGGGCUUGCCGACAGGUAAACCGCCGCUGUACUUAGAUGCAAAAGCUGCCUCCCUUAUCUGGAACAGAAUAAAUUCCUUUCGAAGGCAAAAUAAAAAACAGAAAGAGAAGUCAUCAAGGCAUUCCACAUCCAUCUUAUUCAGUCUUUACAGUGUUGCUACAUCACCAUUUGCUUAGCCUCCUAUGCCAAAAAAAAUUGUCGAAAAUAAAAUGACCUGAUUCCCAUGUUUUUCACCACCCAA